AGACGGGACCCGCACAAGCGGUGGAUGAUGUGGUUUAAUUCGAUGCAACGCGAAAAACCUUACCUACCCUUGACAUGUCAAGAAUUUUGCAGAGAUGUGAAAGUGCUCGAAAGAGAACUUGAACACAGGUGCUGCAUGGCCGUCGUCAGCUCGUGUCGUGAGAUGUUGGGUUAAGUCCCGCAACGAGCGCAACCCUUGUCAUUAGUUGCUACCGCAAGGAGCACUCUAAUGAGACUGCCGGUGACAAACCGGAGGAAGGUGGGGAUGACGUCAGGUCCUCAUGGCCCUUAUGGGUAGGGCUACACACGUCAUACAAUGGUCGGUACAGAGGGUUGCCAAGCCGCGAGGUGGAGCCAAUCCCUUAAAGCCGAUCGUAGUCCGGAUCGUAGUCUGCAACUCGACUACGUGAAGUCGGAAUCGCUAGUAAUCGCAGAUCAGCAUGCUGCGGUGAAUACGUUCCCGGGUCUU
rnacentral:rRNA from 1 species